rnacentral:ncRNA from 18 species
CCUAUGGAGUGUUAUAACAAACCAAAGUAGCUUUGGCAAAAUGGAACACUAUGAAUUAGGAA